rnacentral:rRNA from 1 species
GAUGAACGCUGGCGGCGUGCCUAACACAUGCAAGUCGAGCGAUUUACUUCGAUAAAGAGCGGCGGACGGGUGAGUAACGCGUGGGUAACCUGCCCUGUACACACGGGUAACAUACCGAAAGGUAUGCUAAUACGAGAUAAUAUACUUUUAUCGCAUGGUAGACGUAUCAAAGCUUUUUCGGUACAGGAUCGACCCGGGUCUGAUUAGCUAGUUGGUAAGGUAACGGCUUACCAAGGCGACGAUCAGUAGCCGACCUGAGAGGGUGAUCGGUCACAUUGGAACUGAGACACGGUCCAAACUCCUACAGGAGGCAGCAGUGGGGAAUAUUGCACAAUGGGCGAAAGCCUGAUGCAGCAACGCCGCGUGAGCGAUGAAGGCCUUCGGGUCGUAAAGCUCUGUCCUCAAGGAAGAUAAUGACGGUACUUGAGGAGGAAGCCCCGGCUAACUACGUGCCAGCCGCCGCCGUAA